rnacentral:lncRNA from 1 species
UUCAUAUGUGAAAAUCAUGAAUUCCAAAGAUCUUGGCAUUAGGGUUUAAUGUCUUACAUAAAUAGGUUUGCCGAUGUCGGAGAUACUGCCUGUGAAGCAGUACGAACGCUGCAUAAAACCAAGGAUGAAAUGUUAUCUGCUGGAAAGGAGGCGUAUAAGAAUGCCAUCGAUACGGCCAUUAAGACUCCCAAGUCUCUUAUCAGUUUAAGCAAAGGUAAUCGACUUCGAACAGAGCAAUUUAAACCAAAGUUCUUUGCUGGAAGAAUUGCCGGACCAGAUGAAGAAACCAGCAAGAAAUAAACAUCAGGGGCCGGAACUUAACCGGGCCAUGACCAUGUAGAAUGAUGGCCUAGUCAUAUCGUAGUAUAUUCGAGUCCUAGCUCUAUCUUCAUGUGUAUCUUUCUCUGUGUCUUUGUCUUUGUCUGUG